GUUGAACGCUGGCGGCAGGCUUAACACAUGCAAGUCGAGCGGAGAUGAGGUGCUUGCACCUUAUCUUAGCGGCGGACGGGUGAGUAAUGCUUAGGAAUCUGCCUAUUAGUGGGGGACAACAUUCCGAAAGGAAUGCUAAUACCGCACACGCCCUACGGGGGAAAGCAGGGGAUCUUCGGACCUUGCGCUAAUAGAUGAGCCUAAGUCGGAUUAGCUAGUUGGUGGGGUAAAGGCCUACCAAGGCGACGAUCUGUAGCGGGUCUGAGAGGAUGAUCCGCCACACUGGGACUGGGACACGGCCCAGACUCCUACGGGAGGCAGCAGUGGGGAAUAUUGGACAAUGGGCGGAAGCCUGAUCCAGCCAUGCCGCGUGUGUGAAGAAGGCCUUUUGGUUGUAAAGCACUUUAAGCGAGGAGGAGGCUACCUGGAUUAAUACUCUAGGAUAGUGGACGUUACUCGCAGAAUAAGCACCGGCUAACUCUGUGCCAGCAGCCGCCGUAACAC
rnacentral:rRNA from 1 species